UCUAAGUCAUUAUGUGCUAAUAAUAAUUCCUAAGUCUUAGCAGCGAAAGUGUACUCACAUGAACACACAUCGAAAUGUGGCUGUUGGCUUUAUUGGACACGAGACACUGGAUAAGGGCAGUAGCCAACCUGGAGGGGAUUAAGGGAAAUGUUAUCAAAUUGGAAUUCUAAUAAGCCCUUUAGGCUAGCUGCCUACCAUGUUGUCAAGAACAGACGGGUGUGGAGGGGGGCAGGAUUCAUGUAGCCUUGAUGGCUACAUGAUUGCCAGUAGACCCAGAUCUUUGUGUAUGUGCGUCUUGUCACAACCCAUUCUGUUGGGUGUGUUCAUCCGGUGCCAGCUUCCCUUUACAAAUCCCCAGCCCUGUGUGGUGAAAGAUAGCUUAGUCAGUUCCAUAGGCACCUGAGCCCAGGCUAUAAAACAGCCAUAGGAAAAGAAUUUUCUGUCACUAUAGGGGCUGAGAGAGCAAAUUGAAUCGCGGGUGCCAUGGCAGCAAAAGCCAGGAAUUGAGGCGACCUGUUUAAUCUUGGCUCUUUGAUAACAGAUAUAGGAGAUAACAUUCAGAGUCUCCUUCCCUCAAGAUAAGAGCGAGUGGCAGGACACUUCUCGGGGAAAGUAGGAUUUCACAGUCCACCUCAGGGUGACUAUAAAAGGGAAUAUGUUCAUGCCCAAGGCCCCUGCUCAGGAUAGAACAGAUAGCCUCUCUGCGGGGGGUGGGGGUGGCGUCUAGGAAGAAAAGCCCUUCCCAUUCUCUUCCUCACAGAAAGCUUUGUGUUUUUCCCUCCCACCACCCGGUCUGCUCUGGCUGCCAGGCUGCCGCUAGUGUUCUGCCUUCGCCUUCCAUUUAACCUUCACUGGGGCUGGAGAGAUAGACAGGAAGCAGUCAUGCACCCCGCUGCCCCUGCCAUUCCUCCUUUUGUAGCCUGAUGAAAGCGCUAUGUCCAAGAAUAAUGUAGUUAGAGAUCUUUCACGCAGAGCUGGUUUCUGAAUUGCUGUUCUAGCUUGUGAUUGGGAACUUGGUAUAUUACUCUGAUGCCCGUGCCCGAGCCAGUCACAAAAUGAUAAAGACUUGGGAUAGUUUUGUGGUUAGGAAUAUAGGGCUCUGUAGCCGUAUGGCCUGGUUACAAAUCCCACCUCUGUCAUUAUUGGCUGUGUGACCUUAGACAGGUUAACUGACUUGUCUGUUUUAGUUUUUUUUUUUUUUUUUUUUUUCCCGCCUUAGGAUCUGCCUUACAGAGUUGUGAGGAUUGAAUGAAUUAAUUCACACAAAGGUUUAGAAGAGAGUACCUGACUUAUAGCACUUGCUGCAGGGACAAAUCCGAAGUGUCCAUGAUGGAGACAGGGAACACUUACACUCUACUUUGCUGGAGCUGGGGGAGUAUGCCAC